UACGAAGGGGGCUAGCGUUGCUCGGAAUCACUGGGCGUAAAGGGUGCGUAGGCGGGUCUUUAAGUCAGGGGUGAAAUCCUGGAGCUCAACUCCAGAACUGCCUUUGAUACUGAAGAUCUUGAGUUCGGGAGAGGUGAGUGGAACUGCGAGUGUAGAGGUGAAAUUCGUAGAUAUUCGCAAGAACACCAGUGGCGAAGGCGGCUCACUGGCCCGAUACUGACGCUGAAAAGCGAAAGCCAGGGGAGCAAACGGG
rnacentral:rRNA from 1 species